UUAACUCUUGAUUGGAAAAUAUGAUAGAGUUGCCAGAUAAAAUAUAUUUAGGAUAUUUUCACAUUAAAAUGUUAUUUAUUAUUUUUCUGAAAUUCAAAUUUUACUCGUCCUCUUGUAUUUUUAUAUUCUAUUUGUUUGCUAAAUCUGGAAACCUAAAAAGUGGACUCUUUUUUCUUUAACCACACAAACUAGGACUGUGACCAAAGAGAGAUACUGAAACCAGAACGUUCUUCUGCAAUUGAUAUUCACAACUAACUGACUAAACAUUCUGGUCGAGGAUGAGCAGUGAUUUGGUAUCUAGUACAGAUGUGUAUGGUGUGAUGCCAACCAGCCCCUGGCCAGUCUCUGUGAGCCUAGAAGCAUACAUACUUAAGGGAGUGCAGGUCUUGCCCUGCGACCUGCAGCAGCACACUCCGCCUCCCCCACCUCUUUCCCCUCCCUCUGGUCCUCCUUUCUCCAUCUGUCCCUUAGGGCUUAGGAGCUGAGCCCAAGGCUUCUGUAGGUUAUCACCAUCCCUGGGCUGCCUUCUUCCUCCUGAGAGGGGGCAGGGCAGGAUGAGAAAUGACCUCCAUUUAGCUAAAUUCAGGAGUGAGAUGACAUCCAUGUCACUAUCUUUUGCUUUUUAUGGAAAAAAUAUCUCUUUAGGCAAAUUUCUUACAUAGUUGCUUAAUCUUGUCUAAAAUGUGCUUUAUUUAAGAGUUUCACUCUCAGAGGAGGAUUUUGUUCUUCAAUUGUGGAGUGAUCUCUAUCACCAGUGACUAAAGAUGUUGGAGCACAGAGAGCCAUACCCCAAAAUAUGAUGCUUCGGCAUGCUGACUGCUUUGAAAAUUGAAAGGCCUCAGAAAUAAUCCUCAGUGCCAGGGUCUCCCUCUGACCUCCCCCUACCUCCCUUUCUCUCUGAUCCUGUCUCUCCCAAAGCACAGAAUGAAGCUGUUCUCUGAAUUCCCUUAUCUACCUAGAAACUGGACCCCCAAAGAGGAACACAAUUUGCCUUUGAUCCCUUCCCUGAAAUUUCAUUAACCAGAGAAAAUUAAAACUUCUAUCACAAAGGAAGAGACUGAACAUUAAACACCAUAGCUACAGCCCAGACAAACUUCUUCCCAAACCAUUGUUUGUUCUCCUGCCUGUUAAAUUGCCAGAGAAUCAUUCACAAGAUAAAGUCUGCCUUCUGGGUCCAUUCAUUCCCCACUAAAAAUCUUUUACUCCUACACCCUCAUGUCUCCUUCCUCCAUGAAGAAGGGUCUAUAAACCUCUAGGCCUCAUUGGGUUAUUGGGUAAUCAUUCUCAUGCAGUUCCCCUGUGCUCUGCAUGUUAAAUAAAUUUGUAUGCCUUUUUCUCCUACCUGCCUUUUGUCAUUUUCAGUGAACCUUCAGAAGGUAAAGGCAGAAGCUUUCCUUCUUUGCCCCUAUAGUGUCAACAACAGCCAGCCAGGCAAAGGGUUUCAGAAACCCAAGUGGGAUUAAGAUGAUUAGCCACAUGGCUCUAUUCUACAAACUAGUGGUCAGAAUAACAAGCGUUUGCUUAUUAGGAGGUCGAGGUGGGAGAA
rnacentral:lncRNA from 1 species